AAAUCGAGAUUACUCAAUAGGAAUACUUCCUUGUAGUUGACAACAGCGAGUAAAGGUGCACUGAACUAGCUGAUACAACACACCAUUAAACUACAGCUGCUUAACAAUUAUCUUAGCAAAUGAACAUCUUAUCUGUCUUGCAUAUAUAAGUUGUACACACAGCAUGCACUCAGGACAGUCCAUUUGUUUGUCCUACAGCCAAGAACACUGUAUAUGACUGAGUGAAACUUUGUCAUCAAUCCCCCAAAACAUCCAUGUGUAUAAUUUUCUUCAAGUUUGACCCCCGGCCUGCCUCCAAAAAUGCCUAC